CUACGUGCCAGCAGCCGCGGUAAUACGUAGGUGGCGAGCGUUAUCCGGAAUUAUUGGGCGUAAAGGGUGCGUAGGCGGUCUGUUAAGUUCAUGGUCAAAUUGUGGGGCUCAACCCCAUCGCGCCAUGGAUACUGGCAGACUAGAGUAUUGGAGAGGCAAGUGGAAUUCCAUGUGUAGCGGUAAAAUGCGUAGAUAUAUGGAGGAACACCGGUGGCGAAGGCGACUUGCUAGCCAAAGACUGACGCUGAGGCACGAAAGCGUGGGGAGCAAAUAGGAUUAGAUACCCUAGUAGUCCACGCUGUAAACGAUGAAUACUAAGUAUUGGGGAGACUCAGUGCUGCAGCUAACGCAUUAAGUAUUCCGCCUGUGGAGUAUGCACGCAAGUGUGAAACAUAAAGGAAUUGACGGGGGCCCGCACAAGCGGUGGAGUAUGUGGUUUAAUUCGACGCAACGCGAAGAACCUUACCAGGCCUUGACAUCCCUUGCGAAGUUCUAGAGAUAGGA
rnacentral:rRNA from 1 species